GAUGAACGCUGACGGAAUGCUUAACACAUGCAAGUCGAUGGGGAAGUGGUGCUUGCACCAUGGCAACCAUGGCGGACGGGUGAGUAACGCGUAAGGGACUUACCUGCAGGACUGGGAUAACAGGGGGAAACUCCUGACAAGACCGGAUAAUGUCAUGGAGCUGCAUGGCUUUAUGAUGAAAGGAGACGCCUGCGGAGAGCCUUGCGUCCUAUUAGCUAGUUGGUGAGGUAAUGGCUCACCAAGGCGAAGAUAGGUAGCCGGCCUGAGAGGGUGGACGGCCACAAGGGGACUGAGAUACGGCCCUUACUCCUACGGGAGGCAGCAGUGGGGAAUAUUGGACAAUGGGGGCAACCCUGAUCCAGCAAUUCUGUGUGCACGAAGAAGGUUUUCGGAUUGUAAAGUGCUUUCAGCAGGGAAGAAGUAAGUGACGGUACCUGCAGAAGAAGCGACGGCUAAAUACGUG
rnacentral:rRNA from 1 species